GAAUGAGAUGGCGAUGAUCUAUCGAAUGCUAACAUCGAGGGUUCUUUGUCUAGAUUCACAACUUCAACUCUCUGUUCCUUUACUGCAAUUAUUGUGAUCAUUAUCUAUUUAGGUCACCUCUGUCUAUGAUGCAAAUGUGUUUAGGAAUAUGGAAUUGGGAAGAUUUGCACUUGGAAAGUAGGCGGCAAUUUGUUUCAUUAUUGGAGAAGGGGGUUUUCCAAAGAACUUUCUUUAUGCAUUUGUUAUGUUGCUCAUCUGGUGUAUGCAUCCAAUAUAUUGUCAUAGUGGUUCCUAUUUGGAUCUCAGGAUUGCAAGUGUUCCAUUGAGUAAUGAGUACAAGAUUGGCAGCAUGGCUUGGUGCUUGUUAAAAGGGGGUCUCAUUGCAGUGUUUUGAUUCUUUGAUUCUGAUGGUGGUUAUUUCAGAUGUUUGUGAAAUCUAUUUAUCUUUUUUUUUUUUUUUUAAAUUUAUUUUUAGCUUCGCUCAUUCUUCCAGAUAGAUAGACCUGCAAGAUCCUUGUCAUUUUGGUUCUUGAUAGCUUCGUAGAAUGAGAUGGCAAUGAUCUAUCAAACGCUAAUUUUGAGGGUUCUUUGUCUAGAUUCAAACUUCAACUUACUGUUCCUUUACUACCAUUACUGCGAUCCUUAUGUAUUUAGGUCCUCUCUGUCUAUGAUGCAGACUUUUCUAGGAAUAUGGAAUCAGGAAGAUUUGUACCUGGAAAGGAUGCGAGUGUGUUCCAUCGAGUAAUGAGUACAAGAUUGGCAGCAUGGCUUGGUGCUUGCUAUAAGGGGGUCUCAUUGUAGUUUUUUGAUUCUAUCUUUUUUGCUUCUUUCAUGGUUCCAGAUGGAUAGAGCUGCAAGGUCCUUGUCAUUUUGGUUCUUGAUCGCUUCGGAGAAUGAGAUGGCGAUGUUCUAUUGAAUGCUAAUAUCGAGGGUUCUUUGUCCAGAUUCACAACUUCAACUCUCUGUUCAUUUGUUCCUUUACUGCAAUUAUUGCGAUCAUUAUCUAUCUAGAUCACCUCUGUCUGUGAUGCAGACUUGUCUAGGAAUAUGGAAUUGCGAAGAUUUGCACUUGGAAAGUAGGCGGCAAUUUGUCUCAUUAUUGGAGAAGGGGGUUUUCCAAAGAAUGCUCUUUCUUUAUGCAUGUGUUAUGUAGCUCAUCUGGUGUAUGCAUCCAAUAUAUUGUGAUAGUGGUUCUUAUUUGGAUCUCAGGGAUGCAAGUGUUCCAUUGAGUAAUGAGUACAAGAUUGGCAGCAUGGCUUGGCCCUUGCUAUAAGGGCGUCUCAUUGCAGUGUUUUGAUUCUUUGAUUUUGUUGGUGGUUAUUUGAGAAGUUUGUGAAAUCUAUUUAUCUCUGUUGCUUCUUUCAUGGUUCCAGAUAGUUGGACUUGCAAGAUCCUUGUCAUUUUGGUUCUUGAUCGCUUCGGAGAAUGAGAUGGUGAUGAUCUAUCAGACCCUAAUAUCGAGGGUUCUUUGUCUAGAUUCACAACUUCAACUCUCUGUUCCUUUACUGCAAUUAUUGCGAUCAUUAUGUAUUUAGGUCCUCUCCAUCUAUGAUGCAAACGUGUCUAGGAAUAUGGAAUUGGGAAGAUUCACACUGGGAAAGUUGGCGGCAAUUUGUCUCAUUAUUGGAGACAGGGUUUUUGCAAUGAACGUUCUUUCUUUAUGCUUGUGUUAUGUUGCUCAUCUAGUGUAUGCAUUUAAUAUGUUGUCAUAAUGGUUCUUAUUUGGAUCUCAGGGAUGCGAGUGUGUUCCAUCGACUAAUGAGUACAAGAUUGGCAGCAUUGGCUUGCUGCUUGCUAGAAGGGGGUCUCGUUACAGUGCUUCGAUUCUUUGAUUCAGUUGGUGGUUGUUUCCGAUGUUUGUGAAAUCUAUUUGUGUUUGGCUUUUCAGGUUGGCGAUGGAUUAUUGCUGACUUCAAAAGCUUCGUCCCAGCAAAUAGACGAUGCCAAGUCCCAAACAAUGUAGUGCUGGUACGUGUUAGGGAAGAGAACAUGGAGCGGUUGAGGAUCUAGAAUGUGGGGGAUAAUACUCGUUAAUUAUGUGCCGCACCUUUGAAACUGAACCGCCAUUAGCAUGAAGGGGUGUGCCUCUGCUGGAGUUGCACGUUGUGAAGAACUCAUUUAUUGAGUAGUUUUGGUUCUGUCAUGGUUUUAAAGUAAAUACCCCUCUGGUCAGUUUUGUGCCUUUAGAGAACUAGACAGUCAAAUCCAUAGCCUCUAUCUCUCCAACAAAAAAAAAAAAAAAAUCAAAAAAGGAGAAAACAAAAGAGGAGAAUUUAUUUUAGUUCUUUUUUAUUGUUGGAAAGUGUUGGACAGCCAAAAUCCUCAGUCAAUUUGGUCCUCAAUGUCUUUGAAGAAUCAAAUGAUCAUCUUUUACUGCAACUACUGUGAUCAUUAUGUAAUCUGGAUGUGUUUGUUUGGCCUCUUGGCUGUGUUGCAGACUUGUUGAGUUUUUAGGAAUUUGGACUUGAGAAGAUUCCUGUUUGCACUCGGAAGUUGGAA